rnacentral:lncRNA from 1 species
CGUCCUGCUCGGCGGCGCCCGACGCCCUCCGGGGCCGGAGCUGCCCCGGCUGCCCCGGGCCCUGCUCCCUUGGGGAGGGGGGACGGGCCCUGGCGGCCAGCACCGGCCCGGACCGGCCGGGAUCCGCCCCGUCGGCAGGCCCCGGCCCCCGCGGCGUCGGCACCGGCACCCGGUAGCAGUGGGUUAGCGAGGUGCGCUGAGAAUUUUGACUUAACCAUAAGGUGGAUGGAAAGUGAUACGUUGUUACGGAAACCAGGAGACUGAAGAGUGCUAGUUCAUAAGUUCACAGCUCUGUCAUAUCAGUCUCAGAAAUGUACACUGGCAUUUAUAAAGGACUGAAUUGGUAAUUUGAUCCAUAAAAGCAUCAUGACAGGCACAGCAGAAGAAAAUCAGUGGACGUGUCCAUCUUAAACUUUUUAAAGAUUAUCAAGGAAAGAUCCAACAAUGACAGUGAACAAAAGCUUCUUGAUGUGUGUCUCUGCAGAGGAUGGCAACAGAGGGGGGAAAAAAAAAGAUCUAGUGAGAAGCUAUAUGCUGAAAUCUUCUCAUCUUGAAAUUGAAAGUAUUUGUCAACACAAGGGUUGAGAAGCUAUACCAUCAAUUAUUAUAGCCAGAUUGCAUCUUGGUCUGCAUACACACACACACAUACACACACACACACACACACACACACAAAUUCUUUUUUAUUAAACUUCUGAAUUGUUAGCACUGCUAGCUAUUCUGAAAGAAAUGGCAGAACAAAUGUGCUGAGAAUAAAGUCUAGGUCACAUCUUACUCUACGCUAAGC